AAGACUAUAUUUUCAGGGGUCAUUUCUACAGUAGGUUACUAGAGAAGUUUCUCUGAUCAUGUCAAGUACCAGAAACCACGAGGAGGAGGUGAGUGUUCUCUCCUGAGCAUGAAGUUGGUCCUAGCUAUUGCAUUUCUACAACUGCCUUUUGCCAUUGAUGAUCGUUCUUAAUUCUCUUUAGAGAUUAAGAGGGAGAGAACACAGUCUGAGUGGUC
rnacentral:snoRNA from 1 species